GGGUGAAGGUGGCGGACGGGUGAGUAACGCGUAAAGACUUGCCUUACAGACUGGGACAACAUUUGGAAACGAAUGCUAAUACCGGAUAUUAUGAUUGGGUCGCAUGAUCUGAUUAUGAAAGCUAUAUGCGCUGUGAGAGAGCUUUGCGUCCCAUUAGUUAGUUGGUGAGGUAACGGCUCACCAAGACGAUGAUGGGUAGCCGGCCUGAGAGGGUGAACGGCCACAAGGGGACUGAGACACGGCCCUUACUCCUACGGGAGGCAGCAGUGGGGAAUAUUGGACAAUGGACCAAAAGUCUGAUCCAGCAAUUCUGUGUGCACGAAGAAGUUUUUCGGAAUGUAAAGUGCUUUCAGUUGGGAAGAAGUCAGUGACGGUACCAACAGAAGAAGCGACGGCUAAAUACGUGCCAGCAGCCGCGGUAAUACGUAUGUCGCAAGCGUUAUCCGGAUUUAUUGGGCGUAAAGCGCGUCUAGGCGGCUUAGUAAGUCUGAUGUGAAAAUGCGGGGCUCAACCCCGUAUUGCGUUGGAAACUGCUAAACUAGAGUACUGGAGAGGUAGGCGGAACUACAAGUGUAGAGGUGAAAUUCGUAGAUAUUUGUAGGAAUG
rnacentral:rRNA from 1 species